GUGUGCUGAUGAUGAUCGAAAGGCAUCGCUGAAUUCGAUGAAUGCACUUGUGCACACCAGUGUGCAGCUAUAGUGAUAUCAUCUGGGUAGUGUAUCUGAGGCACAC